UUUUCUUCUUCAGUGCAAUUCACUUCUUUUUCUUCUUCCUCUGAAAAUUUUUCAUGCCGCAGUUGUCUUCUUCUCCCUCCCUUGUGACACCGAAUCCUCCACGUUUUCGUGUGGUUAGCUUGCUUUAUUUUAUCUUGUUGUUUUGUUUCCAUUUGUUAAAAACCGAAUCUCCUCUUUUCUAUUUUUUUCUGCAUUUUAUUUCAUGAGUUUCCUCCAUUGCUGCAGGUCGGUCCGUACCUCAUAGUGCGCCUCUUUCCUCUUCUUCUUUUCUUAUGUGUUUCUUGUUAUUGUAGUGUAAAAAAAAAGAAAAAAACCUUGCUUUUUCUCUUGCUUUUCCCCUUGCAUUGUGCUCUGUUUUGGACCUGAUCUUUAUGCUCUGUUUUUGCUCCAAACGUGAAGCUUGAGACUCGGUUUUCCCUCUCUUUGUCUCUAUUAAUUUCGUGUACUUGGUUGUGGGUAAUCUCUGGUGAUUUUCGGGUGUUUUUCUCCCCAACCCAUGCUCUGUUGUCACCUCUACCGUGCCCUUUUUUUUUUGGUCCAGCCAUGAGCUUCACUUUUGGUUUUCUUGGUAUUUUCCUCUGCCAUGGAUCUCGUUUUUCUAGCCUUAAUCUUCUCAUUUUAUUUCAGUAAAAACAGCCCAUUUAUUCUGAAAAUUUCAUCUUCAUUUAUCUUGUUUUUGAAACCCAUUUUAGUCUCAAAAUGUAAUUUUUGUUUAUUUAUUUUCAAGCUAGCUUUUGGAGUUUAUCAAGUAUUUGAUCUUCUAGAAUUAUUUUCCUUUAAAGUGUUGUAAGUAUUUUUCUGAAUAACUCGUGAUUUAAAUAUAUUUAUGUUUUAACAAAUAUUUUUUCGUGGAUUGGUUUGUUUUGCCGGACUGAGUCCGAAGAGUUUGAGGGUCGGUUGGAAUGGAGGAGUUAUUUGUUUGUUUGGUUGAUAUUGGGAUUUGCUGGAUUAUUUUGUGACUUGUAGCAUGCAUGAUCAUGUUUUGUAAAAUGGAAAUUGGAUUUUUAGCAUAGUGCAUGCAUAUUCAUGGGUAUGAAUGGAAAAUUGAUUUUCGUGUAAAAGUAGAUUUUUUGGGUGCGUGUGUAUCAUGACUCCAAGCCGAGAUGAGACAUUAUCUCGGUGGAACUCCUUUGAUCACUCGGGAACGUAAUAUACUGAGUGACAUCUCUUGGGUUAUCGCUGGGCGACAACAAGAACAAACAGGAUGGUAACGCUCUCGUGUCGACUCCAUGGCCCCUCUGCUAGUAGGGGCGAAAGGAUGCUUGGCUAUGAACGCGUUGGGCACAAAACUGGGCAUCGCUCGUUACGAAAUCACAUGCAUGGUCGUUACCCAUGUUUUUGUUGCAGAUGUGGAGGCUAAGCCUGAGGAGGCGGCUCUGCCGAAGGAGUGACUUAAUGCUUUAUCUUGUGUAUUGGGAAGUGUUUUCCUGCCUUUUAAUUAUGUAUUUGGUUUUACAUUAUGUUUUUUUUUGGACUUUUGUAAUAUUUUUGAUACAUUUAUUUUUUAAGUGAAAUUAUAUUUUAACAAUUCUGGUACAUAGUUGACUGA